rnacentral:tRNA from 1 species
GGGCCUGUAGCUCAGUUGGUCAGAGCAGAGGACUUAGCGAGGUCAUCCCGCACAUCGUCGGAUGUCGGGUUGGCCUCAAGGGUUGCCCGUGAUCAGAUUCGGUCUGGUGGCGGGUAGAACUGGUCAAAUUCGGUGAACGCUAACUCCAUCAGGACAAGCCAAUACCGAGCCAAGUCCCCUGCAGGAAGGGGAAAGGUGUAGAGACUAGACGGCCAGCCUGUAACGGGAAGGUAUAGUCCAGACCACAAACUCACCCGAGGCGACGAAAGCCGUAGUGGUAAGCAUAAUCCUUUGGUCCAGGGUUCAAGUCCCUGCGGGCCCACCA